rnacentral:sRNA from 1 species
UAUUCUGCCCUACAGGGAAGGAUGAGAAGCUUCGACUAAGGUUCGACUCGAGCGAAGCGAGAGAACGUUGCCGCAGGCAACGGCCCGAAGGGCGAGCGCUUAGCGCCGAGUAAUCCUUCCCCACCACCA